AAAAAUAAUAAACAUAAUUUUAUGCGUAAAAGAAUGUUCCCAAGGUUGUUUUUUUUUAUGAUAAGAUUUCCGUUCUAAAAAUAAUUAUGACAACAAUAAACAAAAUUGCGGAAAACGGCAGGUUUAUGAUUUUGCACCUAACCCUUACUACCUGUAUAUAUCAUGUAUACAUGGUAUAUGUGUAUCAUGAUUUUUCAACGUCUUUAAAAGCUUCGAAACUUCAUGCUACUCCUUGCAAACAAUUGUAGCCUAGUUUAUUUAUUUGUAGAAUUUGAUAUUCUUUAGUCUACAUCUAAAUCCUUGUAGUUAAGGGUGACACAUGUGGAGCAGGACCUGCUUACCAUUCGUGGGAGCACUGGGAACACACCCAGUUUUAGGUGCGGUUCGUGUUGCUCAGUCUUUAGUUUUCUCUGUUGUUUUUUGUGUGUUAAUUAUUGUUUGUCUGUGUGUCUUAUUCUUUUGUAGCCAUGACGUUGUCUGUUAUAUUCGACAUACGAGUUUUAAUGUCCCUUUGGUAUCUGUCACACCUUCUUAAGACUUAAGGUGGUACCUAACACUUUAACUAAAAUUAAUUUGGCUCGUUUAAUUUUCUUAAAAUUUUGACGAAGUAUUUUUCCUUGACCUUUGCAAAA
rnacentral:lncRNA from 1 species